rnacentral:tRNA from 2 species
GCCCAGGUAGCUCAGUCGGUAGAGCAGAGGACUGAAAAUCCUCGUGUCGGUGGUUCGAUUCCGCCUCUGGGCA